rnacentral:lncRNA from 1 species
CAACUUUUGAGAAUCUGUAGCUUCCUCCUAGUGUAAAUUUCAAUGGAUACCUCAACCUUUUAGUUUACAGCUUUUUCAUAGCAGCUUUUUUAAAAUCUACAGCUCAACCAAACACAACUUAAAGGCUAGCUUACAUUUUGAAAUUGAGGUAGUCUAUACUACUAAUAAAAGAUCAAACGAAAACUUCUCUAAGUACACACAACUAUUACCCCUACAAAAACAAACACCAACCACCACCACACAAUUAGUCAACAAAUUACAAUCUAACGGCCUUCCACCAUCCAUGCACCACGACGGUGUGCAGUUAUCAAAUUAACAAAGGCUGACCGUGCUCCACCUCCUCUUACAGCGAACAACUGUUGCACCUCCCCGAAAAAAAAGAGCCAAUCAACUACAGAAAUUUAGGAAGAAUUAACGGCAGCCAUACGCCCUGGCCUGCACCAUCGCCGUCGCCUCCGCGUCCAACUCCCCCUCCCCGUCCGCCUCCUCCUCCCCCUCCCCUGGCUUGCAGCGUCGCCAUCGCCAACUGACAAAGGAGCAGCCUGGAGUCCAUCCGGCAGUUAGACAACCGGGACGCGAGGCGACGAAACGCGGCUGCAGAUACAAAAAGGAAGUACAGGUGCACAGUUUUAGUUCUCUUGCUUUUUUUGAUCGUAAAGCUUUCCAGAGCUUAAAUAGCACUACUCAUGUUCCAUCUUACCAAGAAUAGAAAGAAUUCUGCAAGGAACAAACAUGCCUAUAGGCUAAUCAAUACUGAUGCAGCACGAACAAACAUGCCUAUGGGCUAAUCAAUACUGCUGCGGCACGAACAAUCUGCUGAUUUUGCGCGUAGCUGGUGCUGCUGAUCUUAGAAUUCUCCAAGGAACAAACAUGCCUCUAGGCUAACUGGCUAAGAUCACUGAAUUUCUUUACAGAGGGAGUACAGAAUAUUAAAUCCCAACAGCGAAAAAAAAUGUUCUGAAAUACUUAUUAUGGCAUUUAUAUAGAAUAACUUAAUUUGAUACUUGCAGCGGUGCAGACUGCAAUAGAGGCAACAAAAAAGGAUAUAUGAAGGAAACACUAAUGUAAGAUUAAGUGUGCAAUAACAUUUGGGAUAAUUUAUUAUGCCGAUAUAUGAUUCCCCUGCAACUGCACAACAACAAUAGAGGUUUAUUAUCCUGGGUAAAAAAGUACAAACCAAGAUCAAGUCUCCACCAAGUUUAGUCACAUAUCCAAAGAACUGGUUCUAUAUAGAUACAAUAUAUAAACAAUGUAUGCUUUCCAAAUGACAUGUAUUUGACUCUAAGAAGGGAAUAAAAUAUCAUAGAAUAUAAUGUACGUAUUUUGUUCUAGCUCGGCACCAAUACUUUCGACUUAAAAAGAAUCAUAGCAAUUGCCUACAUAUAGUAUGGCAGAACAUAAAUCUGUCCUAAAACGAUACCAUGAUUCCAACGAAUGCAAAAUGAACCUGUUAACUGACAUUUUAAUAUGGUUUGAAAAUUAUUCAAUGGAAUAAGGAUAAGUUAAUCAUAAAUCCCAUAAAAAAUUCAAAAGUGAAUUAACAUGCAAGAUAGGUUUGCCCAUCGCACUAUUGGUGAUCACCCUGACUCGAGCAUGCUAGAUUGGUGUACACUCAUGAUUAAUGGAGGAUCAAGUACUCACCACUAUGUUUUUUAGCAUGCACGUAAGCCGCAAAUUCCAGGAAGAGAAGAAGAAUUCGGUGAACCCCACAGAAUAUAUACUAAUUCUCAGAGAUAGUAAAUUCGAAUUUCUGCAACCUGCCAAAUUUAAUUAUUUAAGCAUGAGGUCACAAUCAAAAAAUAUGAUGCUACUCAAUUAAGAAGUUUAAAUUCAGAAUUGUGAGACUGUAAUGCACAUAACAAGCAGUAUUGGAACUCAAACUGAAUAUUUUUUUUAGAGAAAACGGGGGAUGUUAAAAUCAUAUGCAGAAAACAAUAACUUGAAAGGUUAAACUCAUGAAAUUGAACUAUGUAUACAUUCAGAUUCCGAGAAUAGUAAAUAAAUUGCACUGGAUAUAUAGUACGGACCUCACAUUAAAAGACGAGUGUUGAUCUGCAGAGUAUGUUACACUCAGUAUAUGCUUUGUUUUGGCUGCAUCUCUGUUAGCAAGUGCUGC